UUGAGAGUUAAACUGUGUUUGGCUAUGCAAAUACACUGUUGGGUUCCUGAUUUUCACUUUCCUUAUGUUGUAAAUCAGUUUUGUAUUUAACGGUCUAUUGGAGUAGCUUUCACUUUCAGCUCUGAGAAGAUUCGCCACUUUAGUGAGCCAUUCAAAGGCUAUUCCACCAGAGGGAGGGGGAGUUUCCCUGUUGCGAAUGGGGAGGAGUAACAUGGACAGGCUCUGUGCUUUUCCACCUCGGAUAACCUGUGUGUGUGUAGGAGGACCGAGCGUCAACACGUUCUACCUAGUACCAGUCCCGGCGUGUCUCAGUGAUGGGCUUCCUCUCGUGUGUCUACAGUAGUCUUUGCUGGCCUUCUCUAUUCUCUUCUCCUUUUGCUCUCUCACACCCGGUAUGGUUCUGCAUUCAGGUUCCACUGAACUGAACUGAAAGCGUCCUCUUUUUCUGCUCCUCAUAACUUUUUGUUACCUUGGUCGUCGGCAGCUCUGAAAGCAUGAAGCUGUCUGAGCGGCUGGAGGACUCCACCGACCGUUCCGGCUGGCCGAGUCGUGCGUGGGCCUGGCGGGCUGCCUGUGUGUGUGCUACGCCGUGUGGACCCCCUGCUGGCUCGCAGGGGGGGGGCUGUGGAUGGAGCAGAACCACACCGGACAGCCCCAGACGGAGGAGGCGAGUGCGGAGGGCCUCCUCUUCAGGGGAGGCACAACAAGUGUUCGGUUUUCUGUCCUCCCUGAUGGCCGUGAGCUCGGCGGUGCUGUGCCUCGUGUUCGCCCUCUGCUGGUCAUCGCGGACGGUGCACUCCUACUCCAACACCCGGUCUCUGCUCAUGGCGGGGCAGACCCUCUACCCCACCACCCUGCUGCUCCUCACUCUGGUCCCCACAGGCUUCUUCUUCCUCCUCAGCUGGGCGCUCUUCACCCGUCAGUACCAAGAGGAGAUUCAGCACGACCUCUCGGCCCUGGGCUCCUCCUAUUGGCUGGGCGCGCUGGGCUGGGCCCUCCUAUUGGUCGUCCAGCCAGUGGUCUUCCUGGUGGAGCAGGUCGUCGUGCCGGACCCCCUGCCCGACCUGUUGAGGUGCGUCCUGUCCCCGCAGAACGCCGCCCCCGUCUCCCGCAGCCACUCAGAACCGUCGACCGACGCCAGGAGGGCGGGGCACUUCAAGCCCAGGAGGGCGGUGUCAGUAGCCUGAAAGUGGUGUAACCACGACGACGGAGGAAUGAUUGGCCCGGGACGGUUAGACCCAUCACCUCAUCUUCAUUUACGGGAUUUUUAUCAGACGCUUUUAUCCAAAGCGCCUUACAACGGUCCAUGCAAACAUUCACACACCAACGACGCAUGGCGACAGCCAGCUCUUUGGGAGCAGUCAGGAUGAGGCGUCUUGGCUGCUCAGGGAAACCUCGACACCCAGCUAGGAGGAGCCGGGGGGCUGAACUAGCAACCUUUCCGGUUACCAGUCAACCCGCUCCACCUCCUGAGCUACCUCCGCUACUGGUUUGACCAAUCGACUCGCAGAUUAGCUGACCACCAGCAGGACGUGUGUGACGCACUGGAGAUUAUCUUGCGGGUGAGCCUGGGUACAGUGCUGGCAGAACAGCACAACAGGGUUUGAGAGGGGUUUUUGAUUCGAGUAUGAGAAGGCCGGUGCUUUGUUGCUAGGUGACGGGAGGAGAGUGAUCAGUGCUAAUACACAGCUGCUCCCAGGGUGGGCUGGAGUCAGACUCGGCAACAAUCCAUCCAAAUCAGACGCACAGGACGAAUCCCGGAACGCCGCGGAGGCGGCGACAAAGAGGAACGUUUUUCACAAGAGAGGUGGUUUUUAAUGAGCGACAGUUUGCGGGGUCGCAGCAUGUAAAACGUUACCGGGAUUGUCAGGAAAAUGGCUCGUUUUUACCCAAGUAUUCCUCAUUAAUGAAUGAACACGGUGUCGCGUCAUCCCGGACAUUUCACAUCGUUUCCAGCAAGUCCUUAAUGAGCUUUGGAACCUUGCUCUGCUCACGAUACCCGGUGCUCUCAGAGUGGGCAUGGGUGCGUGUCUGGUAUGGGACAUACACACUUAACUGGCCUGCAUUUUCGAUCAAGUGGCCCCUCAAAGAGCUUUACAAUAUUGCCUCACAUUCACCCAUUCAUACACACAUGUACACACCGAUGGUGGAGUCAACCACGCAAGGCGACAGCCAGCUCGUCCGGGGCCGUCAAAGGGGAGGUGCCUUGCUCAGGGACACCUCGACACGCGAGGAGAAGCCCGGGAUCGAGCCAGCAACCUUCCGGUUACCAUCCAACCCGCUCUGCCUCCUGAGCCAAAUGCCGCCCCCAACCACUUCAGGGUGCAUCUGUGACAGCAGACGCUGAUUUGUAAUAUCAAUAGGGAUGGAAGUCAUACUGCAAGGGGCCGCAUGAUGAGCCCAUUGGAAACAUAAAGUGUAUUGGUUCGUUUCAAAG
ensembl:lncRNA